rnacentral:rRNA from 1 species
GACGAACGCUGGCGGCGUGCUUAACACAUGCAAGUCGAACGGAAAGGCCCUGCUUUUGUGGGGUGCUCGAGUGGCGAACGGGUGAGUAACACGUGAGUAACCUGCCCUUGACUUUGGGAUAACUUCAGGAAACUGGGGCUAAUACCGGAUAGGAGCUCCUGCUGCAUGGUGGGGGUUGGAAAGUUUCGGCGGUUGGGGAUGGACUCGCGGCUUAUCGGCUUGUUGGUGGGGUAGUGGCUUACCAAGGCUUUGACGGGUAGCCGGCCUGCGAGGGUGACCGGCCACAUUGGGACUGAGAUACGGCCCAGACUCCUACGGGAGGCAGCAGUGGGGAAUAUUGCACAAUGGGCGGAAGCCUGAUGCAGCAACGCCGCGUGCGGGAUGACGGCCUUCGGGGUGUAAACCGCUUUCGCCUGUGACGAAGCGGGAGUGACGGUAAUGGGUAAAGAAGCACCGGCUAACUACGUG